CUCUCACGCAUGCUACCGCCUCUCCGCGUAGUGCUCACGCGCUACCAUUUUGUGGUGGUGCAUAUCUUAUCUUGUCAUCUUUACCUCGAUGUUAGGAGUCCUAAUAUGUCCUCCAUUCCCCCCCCCCCCCCCCGCCAGGUCUUUUAAUUAUCUCGAAAGCACAUUUAUAUGUUCGAUCAAUUUGAUUUUCAACAAAUUUUCGAUCAAUUUUUCUGCAUAACGGUUUCUACUACUUUUUACCUUAUUUAUCUGCACCUUUUAACAUAGAUUUUAAACUCCAAGACCAUAAAGCCAAGCUGUGAUGCCAUUUAUCAUGGAAAUUCGGGCUCAUUUUCAGCCAACAAAUCAAACACCAACCAUUUAAUUUCUCAACCCAAAUCCAAACCUCGCUCGUGGUUACCCAAUAACAUUAUCCACUAAGAAUAAUAUGGUGGCUGCAAUAUCACAAAGGAAGAGGAGAAGAACGAAGACACCACGCAAAGCUCUCAAAUGCACAAGACACUCUCAUGCGUUACUUCUAAUACCAUUUGUCGAGAAAGUACUUCGAUUCGUGCAUAAAAUUGGGCUCAAUUUUCCAAUACAAACAAUCAAAUAACAACCAAGGUUGCUCGAACCCACAACCCUAUUCACUUCAGUUGCCUAAUUUCUUGUGCCCACAAAGGAUACAAAUCUGGUGAUUAAUUGCAACCACGAAGGAGGAGAAAAAUGGGGAAAACAAUUGGCUUAAAGCCAAGCACAAAGGAGAGAAAUCACCAAAGAUGACUGCCUCUUUU
rnacentral:lncRNA from 1 species